GAGCUCACUCUGCAGGCCACAUACCCUUCCCUUUUUCGUGAAGCCACACCCAAGCCCUGCUUAUUAAGUCAGUGGAAUUGGAUGACGAUCGAUCAGAGGCGGGGCUGUUCUUACUUGGAAUCUGCUGCAGCUUGGGAUGAAAAAAUUGAGGCAAACGGGGUUAACUUUUACUUGCCUGGGAAUCAUCAAAGUCCAGUACCUGGACAAAAAUCUGGAAGACUGGCAAUGGCCCUGGAUCCAGUGGAUGACCUUAAAGUAUUCAAUGUCUGACCAAGCUGUAGUUGCUCCGCAGCACUUGCUUCAACCAUCUUCAGGGUCAUUGGAACAAAUUGUUCUCCAUCAACCUCUUCCACCAAAGGGAGUCUUCACAUGCCUGGGGUAGAUAAACUUCUAAUUCACCAAAUGGUUUGAGGCCUGUUGUUAUCCUCAAUCCAGUUUGGCCUGCCUGCCAAGACAGUUUACCAGGUGUGGCUCCUGUACUGCGACAGCUUCUUGGAGUCACAGUAAAAAUCCUACUGGUCAUGUUUGAAGAGAUAGCUCUCAGUCUAUCACCUGGCUGCCAAGAAAUGGUCUAUGCAUUGCGUAUGUGGAACAACCAAAGCUUCGGAGCCUCUAUUGCUGGAGACAAGUCACAAGAUCUUCAGGCAAAUGGAGGUGGAGGUGACUGGGGUGCGCAGUGACAGGAUGGACUGAAGAAAGUCGAUGAGUGUCGGUGGAAAAAUAAUGGCUGAAUGGAUGCUAUACUAAUAAUGCUUUAUAGACUGGUCCAGUUUAACUCCAUUAAGAACCCAAAAGAAAA